UCUUCUCCUCUAAGCUCUCUGCGCUGAAUCCCUUUCCCUUCCCUGUGCCCUAAAACCUACGCUGAACCCUUCUUCCCCGAGCCCUCUCCCUCUCGCGAGUUCCCGCACCCCGCCAAUCUCUCCCUCACACGAACACUAGCAGGCGAUCUCUCCCUCACGUGAGCUCCACACCGCCAGCUCUCCUCCUUAUGCAAGCACCACAGAUGUCGUCGGCCUCUCCUCCUCACGUGGGCACCGCAUCGCCGUUGUCCUAGUGCCCUAGCAUCAACCGACCCCUUUCUUCCCUCUGCCUCUCACGAGUUCACGCACCCCAGAGUUUCCCUCCCCUCCUUGAGAUCUAGAUAACGACUAGGCUCUGGCCACCGGUGGAUAGAUGCAAGCAUCAAACUCCCUUCUUCCGAUCACUUAUUCACUUCUAAGAUUGGAGCUUUCACCGUCAGUUCUUCUGCGCCAACCUCAACAGCUGCAUACUCUUGGUCUCCAAUAGAGAAGGAUCUACUGGCAUGGAAGGCUCCGGCCUUGCCCCCGGUAUCAGCUUCACUGUAGCAUCAGCCAUGAAUUUCCAUCUGCAAGUACCUCUACCGUGGAUCAAUUCAGGAAUCUCCAAAUCUAGGUAGCAAGUAGAUGAAUCAAGGAUGCUUGGGAGAGUCUUGGCUGCCGGUCCUACGUCACGUCCAUAAAUUACAUCAGGUUUCAUUUAUUCUUUACUCAUAUUUUGUAUUUGGUGUUAUAUUAAUUUGAUUAUCUUUUGGAGUUUAUUAUGUGGAGUUGAAUUUUGUGUUGUUGUGGUUGUUGUUUAAAGCCUAGCCGACUAGCAGUGUAUUGUUUUGGUUUGUAUGAGCUCUCUUUAUCAUUUUUCCACUGUAUUGGUUUUUAGUACAGUCGAGUGGGUUGUUUAAUAUAUAUAUAACUGCGUGGUUGUGUUUA